AUUGAACGCUGGCGGCAUGCCUUACACAUGCAAGUCGAACGGUAACAGGUCUUCGGAUGCUGACGAGUGGCGAACGGGUGAGUAAUACAUCGGAACGUGCCCGAUCGUGGGGGAUAACGAGGCGAAAGCUUUGCUAAUACCGCAUACGAUCUACGGAUGAAAGCGGGGGAUCUUCGGACCUCGCGCGGACGGAGCGGCCGAUGGCAGAUUAGGUAGUUGGUGGGAUAAAAGCUUACCAAGCCGACGAUCUGUAGCUGGUCUGAGAGGAUGAUCAGCCACACUGGGACUGAGACACGGCCCAGACUCCUACGGGAGGCAGCAGUGGGGAAUUUUGGACAAUGGGCGAAAGCCUGAUCCAGCCAUGCCGCGUGCAGGGUGAAGGCCUUCGGGUUGUAAACUGCUUUUGUACGGAACGAAAAGCCUCUUUCUAAUAAAGAGGGGUCAUGACGGUACCGUAAGAAUAAGCACCGGCUAACUACGUG
rnacentral:rRNA from 1 species